CGUAGGAUCCGAGCGUUAUCCGGAGUGACUGGGCGUAAAGAGUUGCGUAGGCGGUUAGUAAAGUGAAUAGUGAAACCUGGUGGCUCAACCAUACAGACUAUUAUUCAAACUCACUAACUCGAGAAUGGUAGAGGUCACUGGAAUUUCUUGUGUAGGAGUGAAAUCCGUAGAUAUAAGAAGGAACACCAAUGGCGUAGGCAGGUGACUGGACCAUUUCUGACGCUAAGGCACGAAAGCGUGGGGAGCGAACCGGAUU
rnacentral:rRNA from 1 species